GUGUCAGCAGCCGCGGUAAUACGUAGGGGGCAAGCGUUGUCCGGAAUCAUUGGGCGUAAAGCGCGUGUAGGCGGCCUGCAAAGUCUGGUGUGAAAUCCCGGGGCUUAACCCCGGCUGGUCACUGGAUACUGGCAGGCUUGAGUCCGGAAGAGGAGAGUGGAAUUCCUGGUGUAGCGGUGGAAUGCGCAGAUAUCAGGAGGAACACCAAUGGCGAAGGCAGCUCUCUGGUACGUGACUGACGCUGAGACGCGAAAGCGUGGGGAGCAAACAGGAUUAGAUACCCCGGUAGUCC
rnacentral:rRNA from 1 species